CAUUUUCAGUCUGUUUCUUCAUUGUCUGGAUCUGUGAACUCACCCAGCUUAACUGUCAGUCAGAAUGUUAAACCUGAUCUUGUGAGGAAAUCUCUUUCUGAUCUUAAAAUGGAAUUCCAGAAAUUUGGCACGGCGGAGAACAAAAUAAUUUCAAAUGUUACAAAUUUCCAGUUGAGACUUCCUUUAGAGCCAAAAACCAGUGAGGAUUUUCUACGAUAUUAUCAGAGUUUUACACUGGACAUCACCACUGCGCACGAUGAACUCAGAAUUUCUGAAAACAACAGAGAAGCAGCAUGCCGUGAAGCAA